rnacentral:tRNA from 1 species
UAGUUCAGUUGUUAAAAUAUUUGCCUAGCAAGCAUGAGUCCCUGGGUUCAAAUCCCAG